GGUGUUGUGGCUUAGUGGUGAGAACACUGCACUUGUAACUAACUGAGGUCUUAGGUUCAAUUCCUGCCAACUGCA